GAUGAACGCUGGCGGCGUGCCUAAUACAUGCAAGUCGAGCGAACAGAUGAGAAGCUUGCUUCUCUGAUGUUAGCGGCGGACGGGUGAGUAACACGUGGGUAACCUACCUAUAAGACUGGGAUAACUCCGGGAAACCGGGGCUAAUACCGGAUAAUAUUUUGAACCGCAUGGUUCAAUAGUGAAAGACGGUUUCGGCUGUCACUUAUAGAUGGACCCGCGCCGUAUUAGCUAGUUGGUAAGGUAACGGCUUACCAAGGCGACGAUACGUAGCCGACCUGAGAGGGUGAUCGGCCACACUGGAACUGAGAAACGGUCCAGACUCCUACGGGAGGCAGCAGUAGGGAAUCUUCCGCAAUGGGCGAAAGCCUGACGGAGCAACGCUGCGUGAGUGAUGAAGGUCUUCGGAUCGUAAAACUCCGUUGUUAGGGAAGAACAAAUUUGUUAGUAACUGAACAAGUCUUGACGGUACCUAACCAGAAAGCCACGGCUAACUACGUGCCAGCCGCCGCGGUAA
rnacentral:rRNA from 1 species